GUGGGGAAUCUUGCGCAAUGGGCGAAAGCCUGACGCAGCCAUGCCGCGUGAAUGAUGAAGGUCUUAGGAUUGUAAAAUUCUUUCACCGGGGACGAUAAUGACGGUACCCGGAGAAGAAGCUCCGGCUAACUUCGUGCCAGCAGCCGCGGUAAUACGAAGGGGGCUAGCGUUGCUCGGAAUUACUGGGCGUAAAGGGCGCGUAGGCGGACAGUUUAGUCAGAGGUGAAAGCCCAGGGCUCAACCUUGGAAUUGCCUUUGAUACUGGCUGUCUUGAGUUUGGGAGAGGUGAGUGGAACUCCGAGUGUAGAGGUGAAAUUCGUAGAUAUUCGGAAGAACACCAGUGGCGAAGGCGACUCACUGGCCCGUUACUGACGCUGAGGCGCGAAAGCGUGGGGAGCAAACAGGAUUAGAUACCCUUGUAGUCC
rnacentral:rRNA from 1 species